rnacentral:rRNA from 1 species
CCUACGGGAGGCAGCAGUGGGGAAUAUUGCACAAUGGGCGAAAGCCUGAUGCAGCGACGCCGCGUGAGGGAUGACGGCCUUCGGGUUGUAAAGUACUUUCAGCGGGGAGGGAAGGGAGU